UGUAAUAGUGUUGUAAAUAGAGACUGUC
rnacentral:sRNA from 1 species